rnacentral:lncRNA from 1 species
CAAUACCAUUCAUUUAAUUCUAUUUAACGAUUCAGAUUUAAUUUUUUUUAAAAUUAUGAUUUGCAAUAGCAAGUCACUAUGAAAGAUAUAUCGGUUACCAGGUAUCCCAAAAAGAAAUAUUUUGUACUGUUAAUACAUGAAUAAUUUAGUAAUUUUUCCUCAAAUAUAUUAUCAAAUUUCUCUUAUCUCUUUGUUUUCUUUUUCUCUCUCUAUCUUUAUUCUUUUUCAACAGUAGAGAUGUAAAGGGGCUCGUAUUCGAGGAGGAUGUUUAAAAACCUGAAUCCGACUAUUAAAUCCAAAACCCGAACCCAAAUCCAAAUCCGACGAAUUUUAGAAAAUCAUAUCUACACCCGUAUCCAACUUAAAUCCGAAACCCGAACCCUAGCCUGAACCUGAAAAUCCGAACUCGAAAUAUUAUUCCUCUUUACAAUAUUUCAAAAUAUAUUCCUAAUCAAUUACCCACAUUCAAUUUUUUAAAAAAUAGCGAUACAAAAUUAAUGUCUAAACUAGAAAAGUUUUAAAAUUUUUUAAAACA